GGCGGAGGACAGCCGAGCGACCGGAGUGACAGCAAAGGAAAGGCGGAGAGCAGGAGAAAGAAGCGUCUGCGCUGGCAAGCUCUCCCGGCAGCGCCGAGAGCCAGAGCUGCGGCCGCGCUGAGGACGUGGUUGCCCGUCCCUCCCUUGGGGAUGCCGUCGACUGCACCCGCCUCGCCUGUGCCUGGCCUGGCUCGCCUCGUGGCGUGGGGGCGAAAAGGGACAGGCGGCGGAGCGCUUACCGGCCGUGGACAGGAGCUGCCCUAAGGGAAGCUGGAAUGGCCAGAGAAAGGUGAAGAAGAAGAAGAAGAAGAGAUGGAAGGCUCUCCGGCCGGCAGCUGCCUCCCGCUGCAGGCAAGAGAGCGCCUGCCUCGCCGGGCGGAGGACAGCCGAGCGACCGGAGUGACAGCAAAGGAAAGGCGGAGAGCAGGAGAAAGAAGCGUCUGCGCUGGCAAGCUCUCCCGGCAGCGCCGAGAGCCAGAGCUGCGGCCGCGCUGAGGACGUGGUUGCCCGUCCCUCCCUUGGGGAUGCCGUCGACUGCACCCGCCUCGCCUGUGCCUGGCCUGGCUCGCCUCGUGGCGUGGGGGCGAAAAGGGACAGGCGGCGGAGCGCUUACCGGCCGUGGACAGGAGCUGCCCUAAGGGAAGCUGGAAUGGCCAGAGAAAGGUGAAGAAGAAGAAGAAAGAAGAGAUGGAAGGCUCUCCGGCCGGCAGCUGCCUCCCGCUGCAGGCAAGAGAGCGCCUGC